UUAUCAUUUAGAGGAAGGAGAAGUCGUAACAAGGUUUCCGUAGGUGAACCUGCGGAAGGAUCAUUGUCGAAACCUGCAAAGCAGAACGACCUGUGAACAUGUUAAAACAACCAUGUGCCAGGAGGGUAGGUUUACUYCGAUCCUUUUGGCACACCGUCGAUCUGCGUUCUUGAUCACCCUUUUGGGGUAUCAUGAAUGUUGUUUCGACGUAACAAAACCCCGGCACUGGUUGUGCCAAGGAAAUAUAAACUGAAGAAUGGCUCGUUCCUUGAUUUCCCGUUUGCGGKGAACUCAUGGAUCGUGGCUUCUUUGUAAUCACAAACGACUCUCGGCAACGGAUAUCUCGGCUCACGCAUCGAUGAAGAACGUAGCAAAAUGCGAUACUUGGUGUGAAUUGCAGAAUCCCGUGAACCAUCGAGUUUUUGAACGCAAGUUGCGCCCGAAGCCAUUCGGCUGAGGGCACGUCUGCCUGGGCGUCACGCAUCGCGUCGCCCCCCCAUUCCAUUCUUUCGGAUGUAUGGCUGGGGGCGGAUAUUGGUCUCCCGUUCUUCAUGGAGCGGUUGGCCAAAAUAAGAGUCCUCUUCGAUGGACGCACGACUAGUGGUGGUUGAUAAAACCUAGUAACGUGUCGUGUGUCUCGUCCAAGUGUGCAUCUUAAUAGACCCAAUGUGUCGUCUUUUGACGAUGCUUCGACCGCGACCCCAGGUCAGGCGGGACUACCCGCUGAGUUUAAGCAUAUCA
rnacentral:sRNA from 1 species